AUAAAGUUAAGGGUGAUAUUUAAAAAAUUUACAAAGUAAGCAAGUGGUCAUAAAAUAUUUGUUUAGUCGGGGAAUAUUCUUUUUGUCGGAGAAUAUCCGUACAAUGAUAUAGUCAUUGGUGGACCCCGCAACAGAAUAAUUUUCGGAAAUAGAAAGCGACAUAAAUAACCUUUUUAUAAAAAUAACGAAAAAACUUUUACUGUUAAACUGUUGAAAUAUACUGUGAUAAAAGUACAGUAAUACACGUUAUUGCACAGUAGCACACGGUAUUA
rnacentral:lncRNA from 1 species